AACGAACGCUGGCGGCAUGCCUAACACAUGCAAGUCGAACGAGACCUUCGGGUCUAGUGGCGCACGGGUGCGUAACGCGUGGGAAUCUGCCCUUGGGUGCGGAAUAACUUUCCGAAAGGAAUGCUAAUACCGCAUAAUGUCGCAAGACCAAAGAUUUAUCGCCCAAGGAUGAGCCCGCGUAAGAUUAGCUAGUUGGUGGGGUAAAAGCCUACCAAGGCGACAAUCUUUAGCUGGUCUGAGAGGAUGAUCAGCCACACUGGGACUGAGACACGGCCCAGACUCCUACGGGAGGCAGCAGUGGGGAAUAUUGGACAAUGGGCGAAAGCCUGAUCCAGCAAUGCCGCGUGAGUGAUGAAGGCCCUAGGGUUGUAAAGCUCUUUUACCCGGGAUGAUAAUGACAGUACCGGGAGAAUAAGCUCCGGCUAACUUCGUGCCAGCAGCCGCGGUAAAAC
rnacentral:rRNA from 1 species